GUAACAUUAUUAUUUAUUUUUUAUUUUAUAGUGGUGUAUCAGCAUUAUGAGCCUGAGGUGCAAAAUCCUGGUGGAUUUAUUGGUAGUAAUGUCCUGAUUAAAUGUAACAUUCCGUCGUUCGUCAAGGAAUACGUAACAGUGACAUCCUGGUUGCAAGAACCAAACUUUAAUAUCUAUCCAUCUCUAGAAGGAGACGGUAAAAAUCAUAUGCUACCGACUGGCGAACUUUUACUAUAUAACAUAACAAGAGAUGAUUCCCAAAAGAUUUACCGUUGUCGAACGCAUCACAAAUUAACACAGGACUCAAAAGUCAGCAGUAACGCCGGCAAAAUUCAGUUAACAGAAAUGCGAGAGCUUGUUCCGCCAAUAAUGAAUGA